CACCCUGUGCUUUCUUAUAAGGGUGUUUUACCACACUGGCUGCUGCACUAGUGUCUGUGACCUGCAGAUGUGAUUCUCUGGUGUUAUCCUUGGUGCAUUCCAAAGCCACUUGGGCCCUCCAGCAAAUACAGAUUCCAGCUGCCUGUCCACUGCAGGGAUAAGGUUGCUGAAGACCACUGGAAUGGCUGCCUUGUCCUCCAGCAUAAUGGCAUAGACCCUCAAUUCAGUGUCCUGCACAAACUUGCUGAGGCAUCAUUUUCUGUCAUCCAGUUUGCUGAUGAAGACUGGCCCUAGUGUUGUCACUUGAAGAAUGCCAUUUGUUAAUACCAAUUAAAUGUCUAGUUCUUGCCCAUUA